AAAUUGAAGAGUUUGAUCAUGGCUCAGAUUGAACGCUGGCGGCAGGCCUAACACAUGCAAGUCGAACGGUAACAGGAAGAAGCUUGCUUCUUUGCUGACGAGUGGCGGACGGGUGAGUAAUGUCUGGGAAACUGCCUGAUGGAGGGGGAUAACUACUGGAAACGGUAGCUAAUACCGCAUAACGUCGCAAGACCAAAGAGGGGGACCUUCGGGCCUCUUGCCAUCGGAUGUGCCCAGAUGGGAUUAGCUAGUAGGUGGGGUAACGGCUCACCUAGGCGACGAUCCCUAGCUGGUCUGAGAGGAUGACCAGCCACACUGGAACUGAGACACGGUCCAGACUCCUACGGGAGGCAGCAGUGGGGAAUAUUGCACAAUGGGCGCAAGCCUGAUGCAGCCAUGCCGCGUGUAUGAAGAAGGCCUUCGGGUUGUAAAGUACUUUCAGCGGGGGAGGAAGGGAGUAAAAGUUAAUACCUUUGCUCAUUGACGUUACCCGCAGAAGAAGCACCGGCUAACUCCGUGCCAGCAGCCGCGGUAAUACGGAGGGUGCAAGCGUUAAUCGGAAUUACUGGGCGUAAAGCGCACGCAGGCGGUUUGUUAAGUCAGAUGUGAAAUCCCCGGGCUCAACCUGGGAACUGCAUCUGAUACUGGCAAGCUUGAGUCUCGUAGAGGGGGGUAGAAUUCCAGGUGUAGCGGUGAAAUGCGUAGAGAUCUGGAGGAAUACCGGUGGCGAAGGCGGCCCCCUGGACGAAGACUGACGCUCAGGUGCGAAAGCGUGGGGAGCAAACAGGAUUAGAUACCCUGGUAGUCCACGCCGUAAACGAUGUCGACUUGGAGGUUGUGCCCUUGAGGCGUGGCUUCCGGAGCUAACGCGUUAAGUCGACCGCCUGGGGAGUACGGCCGCAAGGUUAAAACUCAAAUGAAUUGACGGGGGCCCGCACAAGCGGUGGAGCAUGUGGUUUAAUUCGAUGCAACGCGAAGAACCUUACCUGGUCUUGACAUCCACGGAAGUUUUCAGAGAUGAGAAUGUGCCUUCGGGAACCGUGAGACAGGUGCUGCAUGGCUGUCGUCAGCUCGUGUUGUGAAAUGUUGGGUUAAGUCCCGCAACGAGCGCAACCCUUAUCCUUUGUUGCCAGCGGUCCGGCCGGGAACUCAAAGGAGACUGCCAGUGAUAAACUGGAGGAAGGUGGGGAUGACGUCAAGUCAUCAUGGCCCUUACGACCCGGGGGCUACCACGUGCUACAAUGGCGCAUACAAAGAGAAGCGACCUCGCGAGAGCAAGCGGACCUCAUAAAGUGCGUCGUAGUCCGGAUUGGAGUCUGCAACUCGACUCCAUGAAGUCGGAAUCGCUAGUAAUCGUGGAUCAGAAUGCCACGGUGAAUACGUUCCCGGGCCUUGUACACACCGCCCGUCACACCAUGGGAGUGGGUUGCAAAAGAAGUAGGUAGCUUAACCUUCGGGAGGGCGCUUACCACUUUGUGAUUCAUGACUGGGGUGAAGUCGUAACAAGGUAACCGUAGGGGAACCUGCGGUUGGAUCACCUCCUUACCUUAAAGAAGC
rnacentral:rRNA from 1 species